rnacentral:misc_RNA from 1 species
GGAGAGGCUAUUUUAAUCUGUCUCUUCCCUUGACAACAUGCCUGUUUCUCUGUCUUUGGCUUAGUUGAGUUCUGGACUCUGAUACACACUGAUAGAUGAUGCUUGUUGAGAAGCUAUUUCUCUGGAAGGAAACUCUGAAAUAGUGAAAGCCAUAGCAUAUGUUGAAGUUGGUACCUUGUGGCCUUUUGGGUUUUUGGUGUUUUUGAAGGUUCUGGGGGUGUUGGGUAGUAC